rnacentral:rRNA from 1 species
CCUACGGGAGGCAGCAGUGAGGAAUAUUGGUCCAUGGACGAGAGUCUGAACCAGCCAAGUCGCGUGAAGGAUGACUGCCCUAUGGGUUGUAAACUUCUUUUAUAUGGGACUAAAAUGUUCCACGUGUAGGGUUUUGUAUGUACCAUAUGAAUAAGGAUCGGCUAACUCCGUGCCAGCAGCCGCGGUAAUACGGAGGAUCCGAGCGUUGUCCGGAUUUCUUGGGUUUAAAGGGAGCGUAGGUGGAUUGUUAAGUCAGUUGUGAACGUUUGCGGCUCAACCGUAAAAUUGCAGUUGAAACUGGCAGUCUUGAGUACAGUAGAGGUAGGGGGAAUUCGUGGCGUAGCGGUGAAAUGCGUAGAUAUCACGAAGAACUCCGAUGGCGAAGGCAGCUCACUGGACUGCAACUGACACUGAGGCUCGAAAGUGUGGGUAGCAAACAGGAUUAGAUACCCCUGUAGUC